UCUUGGCAGGCUCAGUUAGUAGAGCAUGAGAUUCUUAAUCUCAGGGUCAAGGGUUCAUACCUCAUGCUGGGCA
rnacentral:tRNA from 1 species